rnacentral:miRNA from 1 species
AACAGCUCGUCCAGCGCCGCGUCCCGGCCGCGAGGACAACCGGGCCGGCCGCCGCGGGGCCACCCGCAGCCCCUCC